rnacentral:rRNA from 1 species
GAGACAGCAGUAGCCGCGGUAAUACGAAGGGUGCAAGCGUUACUCGGAAUUACUGGGCGUAAAGCGUGCGUAGGUGGUGGUUUAAGUCCGUUGUGAAAGCCCUGGGCUCAACCUGGGAAUUGCAGUGGAUACUGGGUCACUAGAGUGUGGUAGAGGAUAGUGGAAUUUCCGGUGUAGCAGUGAAAUGCGUAGAGAUCGGAAGGAACAUCUGUGGCGAAGGCGACUAUCUGGGCCAACACUGACACUGAGGCACGAAAGCGUGGGGAGCAAACAGGAUUAGAUACCCCCGUAGUCCCUGUCUCUUAUAA